UACGGAGGGGGCUAGCGUUGUUCGGAAUUACUGGGCGUAAAGCGCACGUAGGUGGCUUUGUAAGUUAGAGGUGAAAGCCCGGGGCUCAACUCCGGAAUUGCCUUUAAGACUGCAUCGCUAGAACGUCGGAGAGGUAAGUGGAAUUCCGAGUGUAGAGGUGAAAUUCGUAGAUAUUCGGAAGAACACCAGUGGCGAAGGCGACUUACUGGACGACUGUUGACACUGAGGUGCGAAAGCGUGGGGAGCGAACAGG
rnacentral:rRNA from 1 species